AUCGCUACAAAAUUAGCCUGUUUAGGAUUAGAUUGUUGGUGAGGUAAAAGCUCACCAAAUCAAUGAUCUUUAGUCGGUUUGAGAGAAUGAACGGCCACACUGGAACUGAGAUAAGGUCCAGUCUCCUUUCGGAGACAGCAGUGAGGAAUAUUGGACAAUGAGCGAAAGCUUGAUCCAGCAAUAUUGCGUGAGUGAUGAAGACAUAAGUAAAUUCGUUGUAAAGCUCUUUCGUCGAGGUAGAUGAUGACUUGACUCGAAAAAGAAGUCCCGGCUAAUUCCGUGCCAGCAGCAGCGGUAAUACGGGGGGGGCAAGCGUUAUUCGUAAUCAUUGGGCGUAAAGCGCAUGUAGGCGGUUGAUUAAGUUCCAGUUCAAAUCCUAAGGCCUAACCUUAGAUCGAGUUGGAAAACUGAUUAACUCGAGUCCCACAGAGGAUACGUGGAAUUUCUUGGUGAGAGAUCAAAUUCAUAGAUCCUAGAAGGAAGACCAACGGCCGAGGCAACUAUCUAGGUGGAGACUGACGCUGAUGUGCGAAAGCGUAGGGAGCAAACAGGAUUAGAGACCCUGGUAGUCUACGCUGUGAACGAUGAAUGUUAAAUAUUGGAAUAUUUCAGUAUUAAAAGCUAACGCCUUAAACAUUCCGCCUGAGGAGUACGGUCGCAAGAUUAAAACUCAAAGGAAUUGGCGGGGGUCGGCACAAGCGGUGGAGCAUGUGGUUUNAUUCGAUAAAACGCGCAAAACCNUACCAG
rnacentral:rRNA from 1 species